rnacentral:rRNA from 1 species
UACGUAGGCAGCGAGCGUUGUUCGGAGUUACUGGGCGUAAAGCGUGCGCAGGCGGUUCUAUAAGACAGAUGUGAAAUCCCCGGGCUCAACCUGGGAACUGCAUUUGUGACUGUAGAGCUGGAGUGCGGCAGAGGGGGAUGGAAUUCCGCGUGUAGCAGUGAAAUGCGUAGAGAUGUGGAGGAAUACCGAUGGCGAAGGCAGCCCCCUGGGAUAACACUGACGCUCAUGCACGAAAGCGUGGGGAGCAAACAGG